CUCAAAUUGAGUCAACAGCUCACAAGUCCUCCUCGCUGCCACCAUCUCCAUCCAGAGCUUUCAAAGCCUUUGUGAGUCUCUUGACAUGCUCUUGUGUCGAGACCCACCGAGUCAAGAAGCUUUUGAGGCUAUUAACGCUUGACCUACAAAGACAUAUUUGUUGAAUCUAAUUAAAGUCUAAUUAAAGAGAAGCUAUUGACUGCGCUGAUUGUUCUAUUAAACCCUUUGAACUGCUGGGGUUACAGAGAAUCAUUUCAAGUAAUCUAUGAAGGGUUUUGACGAGGGUUUUGAGGUCGGCGAUGUGUUGAGAGAGAGUAGGGAAAUGUGGGUCCUUGGAGAGGAGGGCAUCGGAUUCGGUCUCGAACUUGAGCGGAGCUAAUGGCGGAUGGGUUGAACUUAGCCGAGUCGGAGCUAGGGUGCGCUUGGAGAUCGACUUCUCAACCGAGGCUUGCUUAAGAGCUUCUAGAACGUUGAGCACUCAUGGAGGUUGUUCCUGCCCGGAUGGGUCUUCCAUAAUCACAACUCCUUUGAUUUUGUGCUGUUUUGAUUGUUCACGGAGUUACAUGAAAUAAAGGCAACGACAACUCACUGAGUCACUGUCAACCAACCGACUGACCAACCAAUUUGUCCUGAGGCUUGAAAUUUCCCUGCUAAUCUUUUAGCAGCGUCAGGUAUACAAACCGUCAUUAGGGUAAUUUCAUCUUUUCAAAGUCAACUAACUGUCAACUAACUGCCAACUAUAAAUUUAACUAACGGUGAGGGAGUGCUUCCAAAUAAAUCUAUUUUCACCAUCUACUUGCAACUGCCUCAAACCUUGGGGAAGUUUCUAAAAAAUUACCCUUCAAGAAAAUGUGUCAAAAGAGUUUAGACCAGUUGAUCAAUAACUGAAAUUGUUCCUUGAAGGGAUUAUGCAGGGUGUUAGCUGAGAUCACAACUGCUUUCUCUUAACCAGAAGGGGAAAAAAGAGUGACUGUGUGGAAUGUUAAAGCAGAAAUUAGUGCAGAUAAAUCAUGAGAAGAAUUCAUCCCUACCUUACACUGAAGCUGACUGAUCUUCUCUGGAGGCAAUCCACUAAGCAAUUUCAAAGAGCCAGCAUGAAAUAGAUGUCGUUUCUUGUCAAAUGAAUAGUAAUUUCUUGACACAAACACUAUAUUGUUCUCAAUAUCCUUCUCAACAACAUACCUGUAAACAAUGUACAACAACCCUUACGCGGUGAAACUGAAGAACAACAAAACAAGGAAGAAAACAAAAGAUUCUAAUCAGCGACAACCAAUAGUAAAAAAUAUUGAUAAGAAGAUAGCAAAAUAUAUAUUCAAAUGAAUUAUCUAAAGUAUGAAAGAAGUUAUUGAUUGAUUCAAUUUUAGCAACUGUCAUUUAAGAGGAUCAUACCCCAGAAAAAUAAUAUAGACAGUUACUUAAAAAAAAAAAAAUACUAUCUUUGGCAAAAAGAAAGAGUGACAGCAUACCCCUCAGGGUCCUCCAAGGAGACCUAGUUCUUGGUGUUGACCAAUUGUGUAGAACCAAAAUCCCCGAUGUUUUUCAAGGAAGUCCCCUGUCUCAGCUUCCAAUAUGAUACCUUCCACUACCCAAUGUGUCUGGCAACAAAUUCACUAAAUUUUAUCUACAGAAAAUUAGUUGUCAGAUGCAGUCACAAAUUACAAGCCCAUCUUCAUGCACUUGGAAGGUAUAAACAUUUUUACGUAAAAAUUAUGAUGAGGGGGUUGACUUCUGUGGAAUAGUGUACAAUUCCUUGCAUUUAUGUGCAUCAGUGCCUUACAAAUCAAGACAUAGGUUCAUUUUUUUAUUAUGUUUUGUGUUCUCUGCUGAUUGUUUGAAUGAAAUGCUUUGGUGCUUUGUGAUUUAUAAUAUUUUGACCUUUAACCUUUUGGCUUUCACCAAAUAUGAAAAUUAGAGAGCUUUAUCAUUAAGAGGAUAACAUUAAGAAAAAAAAAAUAAUUAUAAUAGUAAUAAUAGCAAAGGUAAUAUGCUCAAACAGGUUCAGAAACUAUUAUACUAUAUAGUGCUGUAGAAAUUGGAUUAUAACUUAAAUCUAGAAGAAUUUUAGUCUAAAAACAACAGCUUGCAGAGCCUACCUUCCCCAGGAAGCAGAUUCCCCAUGAAUCCUUUUUAUCCUUGUUACGCAGAUCAAAUUUUGUAGCAAGCUUGCGAACUUCUUCCUGCCGAUAAUUUGGUAGAGAGAAUUUACAACAAUAGAACUCAAAAAGAAAAGAAAAGCACGUGUAUGCAAAACUUCUGCACAAUGGUAAGUAAAAACUAGGACAUCCAAUCUGCCUACAAGGUAACUACAUUGAUAAAAUUCAUCAUUUGGCACAAGGGAAGAGAAUCCCCAUCUAAGUCCCAGAUUCACAUUUUAAAUAUGUGAAAUUCAAUGGUAAUUGCACUAACAUGGUUUGCAUAUUCUAAGGAUUUCAGCCCUAGACUUGGAAGAUGGACAGCUCUUGCAAGCAUUCAAUAGACUCAGCACCGACGUAUUAUGAGAUUUUUUUUUCCAAUCCAAUUCUCUUUUCAAUCACAGUGAAGGUGUGUGUGUGUGUGUGUGUGUAUUUGUCCUUCUUGAAUGAGGGUAUCCCCACCACUUAAAUUUCAAUGCAUUGGAAACUGUAUUUUUUCGUUUGUUAGUGGCAUCAUCAAUUUUUUAAAAUGUUGGUGUCCUCAUUAAAGAAUUACUCUCUCUCUCUCUCUCUCUCUCUGUGUCUAUAUAUAUAUAUAUAUAUAUUGGAAUAUUACUCUAUAUCAUAGGAACAAGCCUGGACAAGAAAAGCCUCAGGAUCUUUUGGGAACAAUCCAUUGUCAACACUCACACAAAUAAGGAAGAAAAUGAAAAGUUAUGAAAAAAUGUGGGACCUGGGCAUCUCAAACUUUCCCAACACAGGGCCAUACAUUUAACUCUUUCACAACCACACUCUAUAAUACUCACUCACCACUUCAAAUGCCACAUUAUUAGCAACUGCUCAAUUUCAUUAAAUAUGAAAUAAAUCACAUGUAAAUUGAUAUUAAUAAGGCAACAUAAAGGUUUCAUGGCAAUGAAACUAGGUAUUGUUAACCUUGGGUAUGGUACCAAGUGGAAAAUAAGUCGUCUAAGCUGGGCCUGUGACAGAUGUGAAAGGAAGUACAUUUGAUCCUUGACCUACAAAAAAUUAAAAGGAUAAAUUUAUCAAAUACUGGAAUAGAUGCAGGUUGAAGAACUAGUACGCUAUACAAGCAUGACAUACAAGCUCUACCAUGAAUGCAGAAUGAAUUAGCUUACUGUAGGAUGCACAAUCAAAUCAUUCAACUUUUCAACGGUAUAACAUCAUUAAAAAAUUAAAAAAAUGAAAAAUAAAAAUUAUAGAACUAUAUAUCAAAUCUGGAUGGAAUCUGUUUAAAUCUCAAUCCUAUGACUGGCCAUAGAUUAUGAUAAAAGAGAUUUGAAAAGGAUAAACAAAUUGGGGAUGAAUUCAUGGUGCCUCUGGGCUUUUCAUAUUUAAGUGACAAUCACUAUUUUUUAUGUGAAUAAUGGUCAUAAUAUCUAAUAAGAGCAUUUAUAAAAGCAAAAGCUUCAGCAGAAUUCCUUAGAAAAACAUGCCAAAUGGAAACAAUCAAGUCACCAAUACAGGAGAGAAAUAUGAAAGCACAAAUGUUUAUCCAGGAUAAGCAACUUGUCUUUUGAUAAUUCUACACAGAAGGCUUAUCCUUAUGAUCCGCAGAUGAGUGGACAACAUUGGCAUAAUGCCCAGAAGCAACGUAAUCAAAUUCCAUACUGCUGAUGGCAUCCAUGAACACACCUGAACAGUUAAAAAUGACAUAAUUUGAAAAAGUGAGAAUAAAUCAUUGGAUUUAGUAGAACCCUUCAAGUUAAGAUGAUACAUACCAAAUUUUAUUCUUGUAUUACAAAGGACAUCUGGGUUGGGUGUACGGUCGCAUCAAUAUUCUUCAAUAAUGUAGGAUACCUGAACAGAAGAGCAGAUGCAUUCAUACAAGACUGAAAAUUAGCUUUCCUGAUCUUUUCUAGAUCUCACUGAAUAAGAUGGCAAUAAGGAAGAUCAAUAACAUAAAAGAUAGUUUGAAUUAAUUUUCUUAAGGUACACAAGAAAAUAUUAACAAGUUCCUGAUUGAAUAGAGCAAUCAAUAAAAAUAAAUCGAAGAAGCUACAUUAAAGGGGCAAUACAUACCACAUUUUUCCAGUAUUCAUCUGUUAAAUGCACUUCUAGUGGUACAUCAACCUGAAUGAAAACAUACGUCAUUUAAUUUCACUUGUGAAGGUGUUCCGUCUGCAAUACCUAUAACAAUAAGAUCAAGACAAGAUUUUGCAAAUCAUAAAUAAGAACUAGAUACUUUUAUAAAAUCAUGAAGGUAAAGAGCCAGUAUUGCAUAAUAAAUAAGAAAACAUAAAAAUGAAGAAGCUUCGUUGGACUAGAAAACAAUAAAUGUAAGUCCUACUUCCUUGUUAACCACCCCGACACCGCCAACAAAAAAAAUGAAAAUCCAAAUCUUGCUUCCUAAAUCAUUUUAAACUGCACAUGUGUUUCAAAGCAAUUCAAAAUUUAUAGCUUAGGGGUAAAGCAAUUGAAAAUGAGAAGGGCAACCUGAUCAUAAACAGCUUUUGCAUACUUCAUAUCUUCUUCCAAUGGGCAUUCAGUCCAAAAGUUCUCGAAGUCUUCCUACACAAAACGAGGAAUUAGAAACAGCCUGCUCUACUGUCUUAUAGACCACAAGAUUUAAUAUUUUUAGGGUAGUAUCAUGUGUUGAAAAAAACAACUGCUUCUAUGCAUAGACCAAUUUUAAUACAUUGGAGAGGAAUAUUGACAAACAAUUUGAACAUAAAUAUAUUUUCAAUAUGCCGUCAAAGAACCAAAACUAAAACCAUGCAGAAGUUCAAAUGAUUGCUCAAACAAUUGCGACAUUAAUCAUAAAAAAAAAAACUAAAAAAAUAGCGACAUUAAAAAGAAAAACAACUUUCUAUUUAAAUAAUUCAAAAUGCUAAUAUUUCUACACCCAAUUUCAGCUUAACUUCGCAGAGAAUUCAUAUUACCAAAACUGAGUCACAACACACACAUACAACAAAUCGCCAUAAGAGUAUUGAUUAUCCCAUUAUUUGAAAAAAAUUUCAAACUUUCAACAAAUUCAAAUGAUGGCAAUAUUUAUCCAACAAUGCUUCACCAAUAAACAUAAACAUGCCAAAUCUCCAAAUAUAUCACACACGCAAGCAUAUUCACCAAUACACUUGAAUCAUAAAGUAAUUAAAAGGUGAAAGAGUAAGACAUACUUGAAACCAAAUUUUGAGGUAAAAGGCUAUGCAAGAAUGACCAGCAGCAUUAAGAAGUCUAAGUGCAACACUGCUAUCAACGCCGCCGCUCAAAAGAACAGCAACCUUAAGGCCCUUUCGAUGGGGCAUGCAGCAAGAGAGAUAGUGGGGUUCAAAAUCAACACUAACAUUCGAAUUAGGAUUGUGUUGUAAAGAGUGUGAGCUGGGUUGAUGUUGACAGAGAACAAGAGUUAAGGAAGAUUAGUUUUUGGUUACGAGAGUGAAGAAGGGUUCUAGGUUUUGGAGAAGAGAGAGAAAAGAAGGGCUUAAGGUGAGAAAGUAGGGGAGACAUUGGUGGUGACUGGUUUUGAUGUCAGUCUCUGUUCAGUAUUUCAAGUUGUAGGAUGAUAAUCAAUGGGGCCUUUAGUCCAGUGCACUUACAAUAAUAAUAACGAGUGAUUUGAGCCAUAAAAGUAUUUAUGAGGUUUAUUUAUAAUUUUUUUUAAUUAUUAAAUAAUUGAGUGGGGUUAAUUUAUUCU
rnacentral:lncRNA from 1 species